rnacentral:lncRNA from 1 species
ACCGGCUGGAAGAGAUGUCUGCACUGGCGCAUCAGAACAUGGAGCUGGCGCAGAAAAAACAGAAAACCUGGUAUGAUGGAAAAGCCAGGGAAAGGACCUUUGUGCCAGGCCAAAAGGUGCUGCUCCUACUCCCCACAGAUGACAACAAACUCCUGGCUAAGUGGCAUGGCCCCUAUGAGAUCACCAGGAGGACGGGAGAGGUCACCUAUGAGGUCCACAUGCCAGAGCGGGGUAAGAAGAAACAAACUUUUCAGGUCAACCUCUUGAAAGAAUUCCAUUCCAGAGGCCAAGUGGAGACGCUGUUUGUCCGGGCGGUGACUGAGGAAGAGGAGCCAGAGGAGCAGUUUUUCCCGGUCAAGACCACCUCACAGAGGGUGGACAUUUCCCAUCUGGAGGAAGACCAGCAGGAUCAAGUAAAGGAGCUUUUGGACCCCAACUUGUUCCAGGAGAAACCUGGGCGUACGACGGCCGUGGAGCACGACAUCAUCCUGCAACCAGACGCGUCCCCUCAGCGGAGGAGCUACCGGGUGCCAGAAAGGUUGGUGGGCGCCUUGCCUGAAGAGCUUGAUGUCAUGCUAUCGCUGGGAGUCGUAGAGCCUUCCUCCAGUGACUGGUGCAGCCCAGUGGUGCUGGUGCCGAAGCGAGAUGGCACCAUCAGAUUCUGUAUAGACUUCCGGCAAGUCAAUACCCUCAGCAAGGUGGACCCCUACCCAAUGCCCCGAAUUGACGAUCUGCUGGAACGCCUAGGGAAGGCGAAGUACAUUUCUACGAUCGAUCUUUCCCGGGGCUAUUGGCAAGUGCCACUGAGGGAGCGAGCAAAGGAGAUCACGGCUUUCCGGACCCCAUUUGGCCUCUACCAUUUUCGGGUGAUGCCGUUUGGCCUGCAGGGGGCGCCAGCCAGUUUCCAGAGGCUCAUGGACACCAUACUGGCAGGAGUCCAUGAGUUUGCUGCAGCGUACCUGGAUGAUGUGGUGAUUUACAGCAACACCUGGCAGGAUCAUCUGGACCACCUCGAGCAGGUCUUUGGACGGAUUCGGG